UGCAAGAAGGUUUCCCUUUCUCCACAUCCUCGCCAACAUCUGUUGUUUCUUGUGUUGUUGAAUUUACCCUUCCUGCAAAAAUCUCUGUAUUUUUUAGCAGUUUAUCUUCUUCCUCCUACUACUCGUGGUUCACAGAUCUACAUUCUGUCAGAAGCAGAGUGCUUGAUUAAUAGCAAAAUAGAUGGGCAUGCCAGUUUGAUGGGAUAUUAAAACAGAAAGAGAUAUCCCAAAUCAAAUUUGCUCUACUCCACCCCAUUCUCCAAGUGAAGAAACUGAGGCCUGGCGAGUUUAACAACUUACCUGUUUCAGACAGCUACUUCAUAGCAGAGACAGGAAUAGACCCUUCUGACUCUUCAUUUCCAUGCUUGUUUCAUUUUACUACUCUGUUUCUGACUACAUAGUUGGUGAAUGGUAGCAGUUCCAUUGAUUAGUUCCUUUCUUUCUAUUCCAGUUCUUGCUGUCAAGGGAAACUAGCCAAUUAACAAUCAUUUAUUAUCCACUGUUUUAGAGCACAGUUUUCUUAUACUGUCUGUGUCUCCAUGUGGCUGUAUGCCAUAGAUAGAGCCUUAGAGUAGAAUCUGUCCCUGGCAUGCAAACAAAACAAGUCUAGAAUUCCAGACCAGUGUUCCUAAACAAGUGGCAUCUGCCUUCUGGUCCCCAAGUGCCAUAAAAAACAGACAUUGACCUUGCGUGGUAAGGUCAUGAUUUAAAUUAAACAGCCAAAAUACAGAAAGUUGUGAGAAAAAUCACAGGAAUUAACAAUGAGCUUAAUAUUCUGUUUAUCAUUGUAUGAUACAAGAAAUUUCUGAGAGAAGCAUCUGUAUAAGGAUUUGGUGGAAACAGUAUGUCAGAAUGAAGUAUGAUUACCAGGACCAUUUUGAAAAUAUGCCCCCCUCUCUUUCCCCAGCCAAAUUAUUUGUUGAUAUGAGUUUAACCUGAUUUUCUUUUUUUAUUUUGGGAAAAGGGGAGUAGACUAAAAUUAAGGUGUUGAAAUUUGGCUCAGUUUAGUCCUUAGAAAGUUGUAAAACCUCAAAUGAAUAUUUUGAAAUCCUUUUUUAUUUAAGAAUGGGAUAAAAAUUAAGAUACAAAAGUUAUUUGAUUAUUUUUAAAGAAUAUGCAUUCACCAUGUUUUAUCAUGAAAUGCAGCCAAGGAUGAAGAGAUAAUUCCUAGUUCUGUAAUAUUUCGGCUUGGUAUAAAAAUGAAUUGAAUUUGUUUCUAAGUUCUAAACAACAUGUGGUUAGGGAAGUAUGGAGACAUUAAGUGAGAAAACACUUAAAUUCUUAACCUAAGGAAAAGCAACAAUGCAAUACAGAUGUAAAUAUGUGUUCAGGGACAAUUUGAAAAUAUAAUUAUUGACUAAAAUGUCUCAGAGAAGGGCCGUUUAGAUUUUGAGCUACCUAUAAUGAAUACCUUGUUAUGUAUUCCAUAUGUGGCAAAAGUGAACCAUAAAAUGACCCAUAAAGUUUUGAAAGAUUACUAAAAUUGAUCACAAUCUUAUUCUACUCUGUUUUUUCAUUCCUAAUUUCCAAUCUACCUAUCAACCACACUCCCUUAUAUUGAGUUAUGCAUUUUAAUAUUCUCUCUGGGCAUUCUUAGGGCUGAAAGGCAAACAUACUGUUUUGUGUAAACCUUCUCAUCCUUGUCUAUUUGUAUAUAUUUACUGUGUGAAUCUGAUUUUUAGGAAGGCGUGGAGAACAUAGAGGAAAAUAGCUGGACUGGUGAAUGUUUGCAUCCUGGUCUACUUCAUCUCCGGUUUUAGUCUCAAGAAGCCAUUUCUAAAGCCUAUUCAAAUUACCCAGAUAUGACUGUAUGCUCUUACCAAGGAUAAUGAGAUACUGUAUUGGUACCUUAGCAGUUCUUCAGGAAUUUUUGAUUGGGAACCUGCUUUCGGUUCUGAUGCCUGUCACAGGAAGUUGGUGCAGAGUUAAGAUUAAAUAAGUGAUGAGAUAGAGGCUGGGUUAGAAAAGUGAUUACAACUGGGAACUUGCUAAUCACUGACCUCUAUAGGGAUCCUCUGGUUUAUCACUAAUCUCACUCACACUUGGCAGUUUCCUGUGCUGCUGCCUCAUCAUUCAUAGCUGUGUGAGUAAUUUGGCAUGGAGUGAACAAGAGGAGGGCAGAGAGAGUCCGGCAGCUGUGCUUGUUGGCACUAGAUAUUUAAGUAUCUUCAAUGUAGCCAGCAGCGCACUUGGCACAAAUGUUAGCCAAUAAUACUUAAACAAAUGGUUGUGAAAGAAAAUAGGCAUUUAUGUUAAACGCCUCUGUCUCUCUCUUUUCUUUUCUUUAAAAAAAUAAUCUGUUAGUUUGAGAUCCUUUCUAGAUUUUUUGUGUGUAAGUGUGAGCCGAUUGCUACCCACAUCAAGUCAGUAAUACCAAUAGUUAACAUUGGCUUCGGUUCUUUGAGACAAGAAUUUCCAAAUACUUUAUAAGCAUUAAUUAAACUGUGCAGGCCUGUGUGAGGUACAUGUUACUGAGCUGAUUUUCCUAAAAGAGUGAGUGGGGACGUUGAUGUUAAAUGACGUGUAACUUGCUUAGUUCACUCAGUACGAGAGAAGCAAGAGCCAAGAGAUGAAUCCAGUAACCAGAAUCCUAAGUCUCUGCUCUGCUGUAUACCAAAUGGCAUUACAGAUUUCCCCACCUUGUAGGAUAGUGUGUUUUUAUGUUUCUCUGAGUGGUUGGUGUGAUGGAAAUUGUAUGAAACUAGUGGUAGUGUUCUUCUAAAAAAGAAGAGGAAAAGCUUCUCCAUCAGCAAAGAGGUUAGGUAAAUAAUGAUUUUUCAAAGAUACCUCAGCGGGGAGGAAGACAGUCUGCUCAUAAAACUGUGAUCAUAUUUAGAUUUAUGCCCAAAUAUUUAGAUUGGCCUAAGUAGGGAUUUCACAUUGUUCCUCUGAAAACUAAAUGUGGAAAAGUUCUCAUGAUUUAUAUGUAAUAAAAUAUUUCAGUUUGAAACAUCCAAGGAUUCUUUUUCUAGGUUAAGCCUUUAUCUUUUAAGAAAAAUCUGUCUAAUUCUGCCCACUUAAAAUAUAGCUGAUGGGGUGAAUUUGAAUUUAUGAGUGCAAUUCAGUAUGCCUUACAAAAAUGAACAUUGAAAUAAUACUGGCUUUCAGACACAUAGGGAAACUGUUCUGAUUUGUGCCAUUAACUCAUGAAGUCAAUAUUUCUUAAAUAGUAUCUAUUCCUUAAAAUUACUGAACUUCAGGUAUUCACUAGACUGCUUCAGAAAUAAAUGCUGAGCCAGCUCUACCUUCCAUAAUAUCUUUGUCCCUGGCCAUUUCUCUAUAAAAACGCUAUUUUGAAUUGGUAGGAAUAGAGCAUAUAGGCCAGGAUUGUAUUACAGGGAAGGCUUCUACAGCCAGUAGAUUGAGAUCUGUAGGAGAUCUUGCAGUUUUACUGUCAUAUCUCAUACCUGUUACCAGAUUCCUUCAAUCACUCUUCGGCAUUAGGAGUAUUUCUAGUACGAAGAAGAAUACAACUAGCAGUGGUACCAGCAAUGUAAGUAAAGCAUGUUUCACACUGCCUUGCACAUAAUAACUAGUCUGCAAAUGCUGGUUCCUGUCACCUUGCCUGCAGUAAUCUGAAGACUCUGAGAGUGAAAGAGAGUGGAAGAGUCCUUGACUGCUGUGCACCCUAAGGAGGGUUCAGUACAGCAGCCCGGGAGUUCUUGAGCCAAAGUUGGUCAACAUAGAAAUGUAUGUCCCCCAGGAAGAAGUGUGCUUUUCCCCCCCACAUACUCUGUCAGAGCAUGUUGAUGGAAGCAAGUGGGCCUCACUGCAGAAGUAAUCAUUUCAGAGCAUAGCAGCUGGAUCUCUCAGUCAGUUACAUUCCCGGAAGUAGGAGCUUUGCAAGGUGCUUUUUCAUGGCUACCACUGCAAUUAAAUUUUUUAAUUGUUUUAAAUAUAUACACAAAAAUAAAUCUCUACUUGGGCCCCAGCCUCCCGGGAUGUUGUUACACACCUUCUGAUCUUGUCCAACUUGUUCAUUUUACAGACUAGGAAACUGAGACCCAGAAAAAUGAAAUGAGAUCAGAAUAAGUAUUUUUCUAACAGGUAUUUCAAAUUAAGGAAAACAUUAACUUAUGCCCUUUGUGAGAACUAAAAAGAACAGCAGUUACUUGUGAGUGAAGGCAGCGUAAGUGACCAUGUUCUGUACCCAAAACCAAUCCUUGGAGUAGUUGGGUUUUGCUGCCAAUCAUUUUGGGGAUGAUUUUUCAUCCAUCCCUCUUUUCAGCAAGGAUAGAUAGUGCCAAAUCAUUUCAUUGGUAGAGGCUGCUUAGAGGGCUAAAUAGAGAAAAAUUUCUGUACUAUAUUUGGGCCCCACCAAUUGCUUACGUACAUGAGCUGAAUCUGGGAAUUGUGUCCUGAACCUCCACUGAAGAACAGUGCAGUAUAGUAUUCUGUUAAGAAUUUGGGGUCAGCCCUGUAUUUAGGUUCUUUUGACUACUUAGUAAUUCUGUGACCUUGGGCAAAUUAUUUCUCCUCAUUAGUAAAAUAGGGACUUAAUAGUACCUGUCUCAGUGAGUUGGAAGGACUAAAGCCAUCAUUAGCUUUCAUCUGGAUUAUUUCAGUACUUUUCUAAGUGUCUCCCUGCUUCCACUUGUUCCCCUACAGCUUGUUCUUCAUAAGUAGCCAUGAUGAUACUUUCAAGAUGUAGAUCAUCUUUUCAGUAAACAGUUCUGAAGUCACUUGAAUAUCUCUGUGGAGAAAACAUGUAUCUUGACAUGCCUCCACCACCAACAACAUACACAAAAACCAAAUUCAAGUUUAAAUGUGAAAGAUAAGCAGUAAAGCUUUUAGAAGAAAGCACAGAAAAAUAAAAACAGAUUUGUUACCUUGGAAUAGGCAGAGAUUUUUUAAACAGUACAUAUAAAAAAAUGGACAAAUUAGUCUACAUUAAAAUGAAUUUUUGUUUAUCCAAAGACACCAUUAAGAGGACGAAAAUAUUUACAUAGAGACAAUAAAAGGUCUUGUAUCAAAAAUACUUGAGAAACUUCUACAAAUCAGCAAGUAAAUGACAAUCCAGUAGGAAAAAGUAAACAAAAUAUUUGAAUGACCAUUUCAUUAUAAAAUACCCAAACGUUCAGUAAACAUGAACUCACUGUGAUUUACUAGUAGUAACUUGGUUGC